rnacentral:rRNA from 1 species
AUUGAACGCUGGCGGCAGGCCUAACACAUGCAAGUCGAGCGGAUGAAGGGAGCUUGCUCCUGGAUUCAGCGGCGGACGGGUGAGUAAUGCCUAGGAAUCUGCCUGGUAGUGGGGAUUACGUUCCGGAACGGGGGGCAAUUACGCCAACGGCCUGAAGGAGGAAGGGGGGGAUUCUUGGGACCUACGCCUAUCAGUUGACCCUAGGUCGGAUUAGCUAGUUGGUGGGGUAAAGGCUUACCAAGGCGACGAUCCGUAACUGGUCUGGGAGGAUGAUCAGUCACACUGGAACUGAGACACGGUCCAGACUCCUACGGGAGGCAGCAGUGGGGAAUAUUGGACAAUGGGCGAAAGCCUGAUCCAGCCAUGCCGCGUGUGUGAAGAAGGUCUUCGGAUUGUAAAGCACUUUAAGUUGGGAGGAAGGGCAGUAAGUUAAUACCUUGCUGUUUUGACGUUACCAACAGAAUAAGCACCGGCUAACUUCGUG